GCCAUCCAGCCCAACCUCCUCCCAGGCAGGAAAGGCACCUCAAAGCACCCCGACUGGAUCGCCUCUGCUUAGAAGCCUCCAAAGAAGGCGCUUCCACCACACUCCCAGGCAGAGAGGGCCAUUGAUGAACAGCUCUUACAGUCAGGAAGUUCUUCCUAAUGUUCAGGUGCCACCUUGACGUGGUGGG
rnacentral:lncRNA from 1 species